rnacentral:rRNA from 1 species
GACGAACGCUGGCGGCGUGCUUAACACAUGCAAGUCGAGCGGUAAGGCCCUUCGGGGUACACGAGCGGCGAACGGGUGAGUAACACGUGGGUGAUCUGCCUCGCACUUCGGGAUAAGCCUGGGAAACUGGGUCUAAUACCGGAUAUGACCUUUCAGUGCAUGCUGUUUGGUGGAAAGAUUUAUCGGUGCGAGAUGGGCCCGCGGCCUAUCAGCUUGUUGGCGGGGUAACGGCCCACCAAGGCGACGACGGGUAGCCGACCUGAGAGGGUGACCGGCCACACUGGGACUGAGACACGGCCCAGACUCCUACGGGAGGCAGCAGUGGGGAAUAUUGCACAAUGGGCGAAAGCCUGAUGCAGCGACGCCGCGUGAGGGAUGACGGCCUUCGGGUUGUAAACCUCUUUCGACAGGGACGAAGCGCAAGUGACGGUACCUGUAGAAGAAGCACCGGCCAACUACGUGCCAGCAGCCGC